UAAGUAUUAACUCCUUCCGGCACCCUUACCUUCUUAUGCAUACAUCACCUUAAUGUUCCACACAAAAUAAUGUAGAAGCACAAGAAAACUGGUUCUUCAGAUUCCUCGGUCCUCUGCAAUUUCUUUGCUACAAAAAAUACGGGAGCUAGGAGGCAUUGCCAUUAUGCAUACAUUGGUGGCCUGCCUCCAUCAAACUGAACCUGAGCAACGGGUUUUAGCGGCUAAUCUUCUCCUUCAAUUGGAUAUGCUGAUAAAAUCAAAAAUUGGGCCAAGAGCUGCUGUUGUUGUGAGCGCGCGACAGAAAAGGAACGACGCCAUAGUUGAGCUAAGAGAAAAACAGGGCAAAAAAUUGGUGAACGACGCCAUAGUUAUAAAAUAAAGAAUGCAUUCACCUAACCCUUUAAAACAUUUUUAAAAAGAGGCUGCAUGAUAUGAACAAAGGAAUUUGGACACAUUCAUGAAGGUAUACUGGUCUGAUUAUUAAUUUGAUGUUAAAUUUUCUCCAG